UACGGAGGGUGCAAGCGUUAUCCGGAUUCACUGGGUUUAAAGGGUGCGUAGGCGGACAGGUAAGUCAGUGGUGAAAUCUCUGGGCUUAACUCAGAAACUGCCGUUGAUACUAUUUGUCUUGAAUAUCUUGGAGGUAAGCGGAAUAUGUCAUGUAGCGGUGAAAUGCUUAGAUAUGACAUAGAACACCGAUAGCGAAGGCAGCUUACUACGGGAAGAUUGACGCUGAGGCACGAAAGCGUGGGGAGCAAACAGG
rnacentral:rRNA from 1 species